AUUUGCUACAGAAACAUAUAUCCAACCUGGGAUAGACGCGGUUGACAUACUUGAUAUGAACACUUCACGGAAGCUAAUUUUGUGGGCCUACACACUUCUGCAUGGCCACUGCACAAGUGUUUCAGCUUCUAUUAAGUAUUGUGAAGAGAACUCGAAGUCAAGGAUAAAAAAAGGAAGUGGAAGCAUGUGGCCUUCAAGUGCAAAUGCAUCUCCUGCGACAGCUUCCAAUAUAGGUGUAGGAAAAGAUGGGAUGAGUAAAAGCUCUGAACCAGAUGGU
rnacentral:misc_RNA from 1 species